rnacentral:misc_RNA from 1 species
AAAGUUUACGUCCAGCCCAAAAUGGCCUCCAGAAGGCUUGUGCAACUUUCAAACGAACAUUGGAUUGUUUUGAACAUAAAGCGAUCUACAGUUCACCAUUUGCAACGAUGUUGUGUUCACAGUAGAAUCAAAGAAGAUUUGGAAGAUGAAAACUUCAAGGUUUUGAACAUUCUUCGAGACAAAGAUGUAAAAAGAUUCAAAUGGGAAAAACCACCUGAUGUUAGGACUCUAUCCAGAGCAGAUUGCAUGAAAACAGAUAUGAACUGGACGAGUGUUUGGCCGACCAAGGCGCCAUUUCGCUGGGGGUCAGUGCCCCUCCCCAUCAGGCAGGGAUACCGAAAAAAAGAAUACAAACUAAGUGCUGGGAAAUAUGGCAACGCAGAAUUGGUGAAGAUUCCAAACUUCCUUCAUCUCACGCCUCCUCAUAUAAAGACACACUGCCAGGCAAUUAAAAAAUUCUGUACAGAGUUUCCCAGUGAAUUAAAAAAUCGAGAGAUCCGAAAAGCGAACUUCCCAUUGGAGGUCAUAACCUCAGACUAUGUGACCUGCGGGACGUCAAUAAGAGAUCCGAGGUCACGCGAGGUCACAGUUAAUGUAGAUCUCUCGGUGCUGAAGUUUGAUGAGCAUUCGGUCACAAAGAUCAAGAAAUUAGCGGGGGACAAGAUGGACGAAAAGGCAAUGACUCUGCAACUCAAAUCAGACAGGCAAGUGCUUGAUUGGUCAAAAUAAAAAAUCAAUAUAUGAAUGGCAUACAUUGUCUUUGAUCCCAGAUAAUGGAGUGACUACUGGUCAAGAAUUAUAUUUGUUGUGUUUGAUACUUGGUGGAUAUUGAUUUUUGAACAAAUUAGCAUGUCUGUUUAUAAUGAUGCCUGUUGAUGCACAUUGUCUGUUUAAAAUGAUGUCUGUUUAAUUAUGCUUUUUGCAGGUGCCCAGUCCGGAAACAGAACUUUGAUUUUAAUGUUUACACGUUGACAGCUUUAUACUAUGAGUCACAGGUAAGUCUUGAGUAAAUGUAUAAAUAGACAGGUAAGUCAUGAUACCUGUAUAAAUAGACAGGUAAGUCAUGAUACCUGUAUAUGUAGACAGGUAAGUCAUGGUACAUGUAUAAGUAGACAGGUAAGUCAUGAUACCUGUAUAAAUAGACAGGUAAGUCAUGAUACCUGUAUAAGUAGACAGGUAAGUCAUGAUACCUGUAUAAAUAGACAGGUAAGUCAUGAUACCUGUAUAAGUAGACAGGUAAGUCAUGAUACCUGUAUAAGUAGACAGGUAAGUCAUGAUACCUGUAUAAGUAGACAGGUAAGUCAUGAUACCUGUAUAAGUAGACAGGUAAGUCAUGAUACCUGUAUAAGUAGACAGGUAAGUCAUGAUACCUGUAUAAAUAGACAGGUAAGUCAUGAUACCUGUAUAAGUAGACAGGUAAGUCAUGAUACCUGUAGCGUAUAUAUAAUUAAACGUUAUUAAGUUUCUGCAAGACUCUAAUAAUUUAUAUCGAUUUGCAUUUAAGUUUUGAAUUAAAAAUCCUUACCCGACUCCACUUUAUUAUAUAGGGGGGGGGGGGGGGGAAUACCAUGAAGAUUGAUAUUUCAGAUGUAUAAAUAGUACUGGUAGUGGAAUGCUUUGCAACCACUGAAUUAUGUAUGUAUUGGAAGUUCAUGAGGUGUUUAUUUUAUUUUUAGUUUUGUUACAUAUAGCUCAUGUUUUCUUUGAGUAUGAGAUUCCCCAGAGAGCAUUGCCUAAGUACUCUUAAAAUAUACACUGAAUCAUCAUUUUAGCUUCAUUUUAUUCAGUGAGUCAAAUAUAAAUAUAGAUUCAGGCUGCACUAUUAAUAUGAAGUGCCUUCAUUUUGUUUACUUGAACAAGGAUUUAAUAAGAUAUUUGUAUAUGUUAUAUGAACUAUUACAAUAUUUUACGAUACUUGGAUAAUUCAGGAAAAAGAAGAUUGGGAGGAUGAGAUGGAGGAAUCUGAUUGGGUGAAAUAUCAGUGGGACAAGACGCAGUCCAAGAAAAAGAUCUUAAAGCUGAAGCACAGAAUUCAGCAGAUCAAUAGUGGGGAAAAGACAGACCUGGCCAGUUCAGUGAGCAAGAGUGAUCCAAGUGUUUCAGUGGUGGAUACUGAAGAUGAUAUUCAGUCGUACAAAUCUGCUUUCUCCAAUUUGAAGGAUGAGGGAGACAGCAGAGAGACCCUUAAUGCCUAUAAACAGUCUGUCCUAAAGCUUUUAAAAUUGUGAUCAUUAAACUACUUAUACCAAGCC